GCCGCAUCCGGAGUCCAAAUCAAGCAAACAAGUACUUGUUGGAAAGGUAAUUACAAGAACUUUCCAACGGAUCUGGCCUCAUCAAGAUAUUCGACUCGUGCUGACCGUGGCGGACAAAACAAGCUGACGGAUCUGUUUUUCUAUUUCCUAAAGAAUUGUAGUUUGUUAGGAAAGUUAGAGAUAGAGUUGGAUUUCGGACUCCUUAUUCAAGGUGGACGAAAAUAUCUCUCCCUCCUCCUUUAUAUACCCCAUGAGCCCCCCUAAGGAGCCUUGGGUUUUGAUUAGAUAAAGUUUAGCCAUCUUUGCUACUUUCGUGUAAUCGCGUGUGUCGGUUAGACCACCUGUUUUACCGUCGUCAAGACCCCAACUUAUCGUCUCGUUGAGACAUUGGUUUGAUAUAGUAUACUCGCAAUUUUAGAUUGCAUCCGCUAUUUAUCUUGUUCUUACUUGUUCUUCGAUUGCUUGCAGGAACAAAGACCUUCGUGGUCAGGUUGAUCGUGCCCCCGCGUGAUCAAUAACCCUCUGGAGUUGGUGUAUCGAUUGCUAAGGCGCUGCCUCCUAGGCCGUAGUCGGAUUGUCAACGUCACCUUCUACCCGAAUCGAGAGUUACCAAUCUCAUCGAAAGAUCGGGCCACCCCGUCCCGUAUCACGUGGUAUCAGAGCUUAAGGUUGCUCGGUGAGAUUUUUCCAGUUUAUCCGUAGUUUAGAUCUGUUUUUACCUAUCGUCCAGAAAAAGCCAAAUAAAAAUUAGAAUUAGUUACCUUGUCCUAUAACCAAUCUGAGCCUUGCAAUUUUCACUUUAGUAUUUGCAUUGUUGAAUCUUUUCUGCAUUAAACGUGUCGAGUUGCUGGAUUAGAUUGGAUCGUUUUUCAGAUUUUUUCUACUAGAUCGAACUUGCUUUUGGUUUUCUUGUUCUUCGUGUGACGCAGGUUUCCUUCAUCAAUCUUCCGCCGCCAAACUUCCUGCCACACCACCGCCAUAAUCUCCCGCCGCCACCAUAUCUUCCACCGAGUCCCUCUUCGAGUCCUACACCGAGUCCCUCUUCGAGUUCUACAUCGAGUCGGCAAGUAAUAGUUUUCAGCCGCGAGUUCGAGUCCAAGUCCAAUAAGGAGUGCUUUUGGAAAGUGUUUCAUCAUAGAUCGAAUUUUGUUUAGAGAUCAAGUUGUUUGGAAAGUUGAAAAAAAAAGAAAGGAAAGAAAAAAAAAGGAAAGAAAGAAAGAAAAAAAAGGAAAAAAAAAAGAAAGAGUUCGAGUCAAUUUCGGACCCGAAUCCGAGUAGAAUUUUAGUUUCGAGUGAGUUUGACCCGUGUCCAGUAAAACGGGCGUAUCUUUUGCGUACCAACUCGGAUUUGGACGUUCUUGGACUUUUUGGAAAGCUCACGACGAGGUGCAUCAGGAAAUAUAAAGGGCGCUUCUCUGCACUUUGACCCUCAAAUUCGGUUUGUAAGGUGGACUUUCGGAGCUUCUAAGUUUCUGCAUCCGUUUUCCGGCGUCGCUGCAGCCCGGUGUUUCUCAGUUUUCUCCACCGUCCGACAUCCGUUUUGAGUGAUCUUGCCCUUGCUAGAAAGCUUGUGUCGAUACGCUUCUAACCCAUAUUUUUCCAUAUUUUUCCAUAUUUUUCUAAAUUUUUCUUACUGCAGCCUUUGCUGUUCUUCGACAGACCGACGUACAGUUUUCCGGUCCUUCUUUUGCGUGAGUUUCUGGGUUAAAAAAAAAGAAAAAAAAAGAAGAAGAAAAGAAUAAGAAGCCAAACAGAAGGCCACAAAAAGAAAAAAGAAGAAAAAAAUCCCAGGGAUUUACUUGUUGUGCCAUCUUUUGAUCUUUCUAUCCUAUCUUCUUCAGUAUCUAGACUUAGAUUAUUUCUGUAAUUCGUUCUUAUCGACUCCAGCAGCUAGGACUAGCAUUAUUGAGCAUAUUUUCAACUUUGCAUUGCUGAUUUGAUUAUUUGCUAUUCUUUGCUACUCACAAAAGCCUCCAAGCUCCACAGAUUCUACACUUAGGUUGGUUUGUUACCGAGGCAUCGAUAUCUUAAUCUUCGGAGGGCUUGGUCACGCCGCUGGCCAUCACCUUCCUAUUUUGCAUGGUAAGAACUUGUAAGAACUUGAUUUUUAGCUUGAGAGUUGAGCGACCUGUAGCCACAUCCUAUUAGUUGAUAGGAACAUAUUCCUGUGUUUUGUUUCUUGCCUUAUACUAACCAUGACAGGACUUACACAAAGGAUGGAAAAUAGGCCUAUGCUAUCAAGUGACCGACAUGAGCGUUUUUCACCACAUCCAUCAUCCUCGUCUCUUGUUGACAUUCGCAAGGAAAAGGUAUAUCGCAAUCCUCGUAAUGUCACUAAUUGUUUUGGACCUUUCUUUGAUGAAAAUAAUGAUGCUGAAGCUUAUAUUGAUUGGGAAAUAUCUCUAAUUGAGCAAUUCACAUGCUUCCAUGUACUAGAUAGUCGUAAGGUCCAUUGAUAUGAAGAAAAUCAUGAGAGAAAAAUAUGUUCCUCCAAGUUAUGCUUAUGAGUUGCGUUCCAAAUUACGACGUUUGACACAAGAUGAUAAAACUGUUGAUGAUUACUACCAUGAGUUCCAAAUUUUAACCUUGUGAUCUGGUUUAGAUGAAACCGAACAAAGAAAAAUGGAUAGGUUUUAUUAUGGGCUUAAUUUUGAAAUUUCUUACGUGAUUGAAUAUGGGGAUUACGACUCUCUAUUGUGUUUGCUUAAUCUUGCUCGUGAAGCUGAGAGGAAGUUAGAAAGAAGGUAUAAUACAAAUGAGGCGAGCCCACAAGGUAAUGUUACAGAGGUUUGUGUUGCUGAACUAAAUAGACGUGUAUUGAAAUAAAUGAGAUAUGUGAUGAACAUGCUGCCCCUUGUAAAACUGUUGAUUUACUUGCCGAUUUGAGCGCACCCAUUGAUUCAAAUGAUAAUGAUUUAUGUGAUGAGUUACCUGCUGUUUUGAUUUAUGUUGCGUUGAAUUAAUUAAACAUGAAGAAGUGUUUCCUAUGGUUCCGCCUAAUAAUUCUUUGUGUUCUAUUAAACUUGAUGCGCC
rnacentral:lncRNA from 1 species